rnacentral:rRNA from 1 species
GCGACCCCGAGUGAGGCAGGAUUACCCGCUGAAUUUAAGCAUA